GGUCCCUGGACUGGGCCUGGGUCUCAGACUGGUAUCUGUCCACAAUGCACCAAGUACAGAGCCUGAGAGGAAGCAUUUAUGGACUUUUGAAGCAAUUUGGCAUUGCAGUGAGGUCUGAGGGUGUGAUUUUUGUAUUUUACAGGAGUGGCGGUCUCUGAUAAAUUGAGAUAAAAUGGUCUUUCACUGUAGAGAGUUGGAGAAGCAUGACUCCCUCAAGCCACCCCUGUGGAUACUGAAAUCCGGAGUUGGAAGACUCCGGCCACGUCCCUCCUCUACGGCUGCAAGCUGCACGGGCUUCCCAGGAAAGAUGGAAUCAAGAGAGACUCUGCUCUCCAUCAUGAGUCAGAACUACUAGGAUUUUGGGUUGAGUCCUUCCUGCGUUGGAAUUGGCCAGUUCAUGUGGAUAAUGGCAAAUAAUUCAGCCUUUAUUAUGGGAGGGGAUUCUUACUGGAAACAUCUCAUUCCUGGAAUCAAGGAAUCUAAGUGGACAGCAGGCAUAUUCAUUGAGAAUCUGGGGCUGCACUACUGCCCUCAGAAAACAAUGGCCUUGCUUGUGCAAACUUGUGAACAUCAGUCUUCCUCACCCUCAGCCGUGUGGACCAGAAUCAGCAGAGAAUUAGAAGGCCUGCACCAGUGCCGCCUGCGAGGGGGCCUUUCCAUCGACUGCCUAACUCCUAGCCCUGCUGCGCUGCAGCUCGGAAGCUUCCCGAGCCUCUCCUUGGGAAUACUUGACUCCAUCUGGAUCUGCUCACCUUGAAGUGGUGCCACAGACAUCCCAUUUUCGGGACCAGCCAUCCUGCUUCCUCUUCACACACAGAAAGUAAAAGGGGUAAUUAUCCCCCAGGAGCACCUUAAUUGUGCCAAUUAACCUGACCACUUUUUGCAAUCAAAGCCAGGCAGAGAAGAGGAUUUAAAGUGAUCAAACACCAUUUUACGGGCUGUAGAUAAGUAAUAGAUGAGGCAGGGUGUGUCCUGUAAAGGAUGGGCUCUGAAGGGACAGGCGCUGGCACUCAGGGAUUUUUUUUCUCUCUCCCCCCAUUACUGAAAAGAGAAAUGACACCUUAGCAGCUUUUAAUUCCACCACUGUUGUGCCUUUAAUAACACAGCACACGAGCCCAAGUACCAGGCUUGUUUAAGCUUCCCGGAAGCAUCCUGGGGGCGGGCCGCUUGCUUCCUCGGGGAGGGGUCCCCCCGGCUCUGAGCCGCCCCCCUAAAACGAAGGUGUGCCGCGCCAUCGCACCAUGGCACCAUCGGCCAAGCAGCUCAACCUUGCUGAGCCACACUGUCCCCGUGUGCCAGUCCUGCAGCGAGCACCGCCCGGCCAAUCCCCCCAGCUCUGAGGAGCUGGGCAGGUGUUGACCCCAUAUGGUGGAUGAUGGGACUGCGUUUCAG
rnacentral:lncRNA from 1 species